CCUUCUCUAUUAAACAACCCGCCAAAGGAAGAGAUCAUAAUAAUCAGGAACUAUGAAAGCAAUAUACACUUGACUCUAGAAUAACUUCACAAAAAAUCAUGUGUGAAAGAGGAGAUUGAGAGGCAAUAUAACUUCACUUACUCGAGCAUUAGAAACACCUGAGCGAGGGCUACACCGUAUUUGCAAAGUAUUCAGAUUAGGCAUUUCUCUAAGAAGAGAGACCAUUGCAGGAACAAUGUCAACACUCAAGUUCUUAAGUUCCACACUGAAGCAACAAAGAUCAUCUAAUGGUGUGGGAAAUAUAUAUUCCCUCGACGACAAAACCUGCAUGUUCGAAGGAAAAGCAUUUAACAAUAAAUAUGGACCCUCUAAUGUUUAAUUAAGCUAUAUAAAGUCAGAAUUUGAUUAUAAAUUAAACUUACACUAACAUAUCAAAAUUAAAAUCUUCUCUCUCCCUCUCUCCUUUUUUCUUAUAAUUAUGCAAGUAUCAGCUUAAACACUCCAUUAACAGACAUGGCAUUUCAAAAGAACAUUGUGCCUAAAUAUCAGUCUACAUAACUACAUUAGUUAAUUGAAACAUGUUUUCAUAAAAUAUUCCAGAAAAGAUAUGAGAUCAAUUGGAAAAACAAGUCAAAUAGUCUCACCAGCACUGUAUCUUUACCUUAAUUGACACGACCCACCCCGAAUUUCACCCUGAAACCCAGAAUAAGUCGUGCGGGGACCACCUCCAAGGAAAAUUUACUGAAAAGAUUAAGAAAAUCUCCCUUGUAGAUGGACAACCCUAACUCGAAAAUUUCAUAUUACACUUCUGAACAUCACAUAAUAUACAAAAAUUCUAAAGUAUUCAGAGCUACUAAACACAAGCGGAAGCAAGAAAACACAAGUAGGUGAACAGGUAACCUACUAGAUUAGAAAACUGGACCGAAAAGCGGNNNNNNNNNNNNNNNNNNNNGAAGAAGAAAAGUGGAGGGAAAGUUUUGGCGGAAUGAUUCAAAAUUCAAAAUUUUUGGCGGAAAUGACCUAUGCGACGAAAUAAAAAUUUUCAUCGCAUGAGUGAGAACUAAUGCAAUGAAAAAAAAAUUUCGUCGCAUUAGUCACAACUUAUGCGACGAAAUAAAAUUUUCGUCGUAUGAAUCCGAACUUAUGCGACGAAACAUGUUUCGUCUCAUAAACUCUCACUUAAGAGACGAAAUUUUUCAAUUUCGUCGUUUAAGUACUCACUUAAGAGAGGAACCCAGUUUCAUCUCAUAAGUGAUCACUUAAGAGAAGAAAUUUUUCAAUUUCGUCGCUUUAAUACUCACUUAAGAGAGGAAACCAGUUUCGUCUCAUAAGUGCUCACUUAAGUUACUUAAGCGACGAAUUUGAAAAAUUUCGUCUCUUAAGCCUUUUUUCCUAGUAGUGAGUAAGCUAGCCCAAGCAGCAAUGAAAGUGUAGUCGGUAGUUGGAAAAGUGUAGUCGGUAGUUGGAAACUACCUUCCCCGCCCAUAGACCAGUCAGGAAACUUGUAGACCGACAUCCGAGCUACCUCGCCAUGGUGAAAGAUCAUUCGUGUCACAUCGGGAAGGUGCUCACCCAAGCUCCAUAAAAAAGCACAAUGAUAAGUUAUAUGUGUAGUUAGUCCCACAUCGGAAAGAUAAUUUGUGAGGGAACCUUCCUUAGUUAUAAAAGGAAGGUUUCCCAUAUGUAGGAAGCUCUCUCUAACUAUCUGAUCUGAUAAUGAUCUCUCUCCCGAUCCCAAAGGCAUAUUGGCCAUGAUAGUUGAUUCUAGCCAUGUCCUCCGAUGGCAUGGUGAACCACUAUAUGUCAUUGUCUCUUGCCCAUGUUGUUUAUUGUUCGUGUUUGUGUUCCACCGUGAUUCUAUAUAGUCCCUAGGAUUAUGCAGAAACAUUUGACGCCGUCUGUAGGAAUCAGUACAAAAAGUCUUGAUGCUCUACCGGGAGGCUCAUGCAUGAAAGUCAGUUGGUGGUAUCCAGUAUGCAGGCCUAAGCCAUCACAGGCCCAACCCAUCACCUAUGCAGGCCCAAGUCACCGAGAGACAUGACCCAUCCUGCCCAGGUUCUCUUUUAACAUCAGGACAUCAUCAAGAGCCAUCCUGCCCGGGUUCUCUUAUCAUGAUGACCUGCCAAACCUCCCGCUCGGGUCCAUGACUGGCGCUUCCAGCCAUCACCCGGAGAGGAUUCAACGGGACCCGGAGACUAGUCAUGUCGGCCGGGAGCUUCGCCGUUGACGGCCGGCUCCUCCCGCUGCCCCGGUCAUCUUCUUCUCCUGGAUGGCACCUCUCCCGGGACCCGGAGCUCAGUCAUGUCGGUCGGGAGCUUCGCCGGCGACGGUCUACUCCUCCCGCUGCCCGGUCGUCUUCUUCUCCCGGGUCCGACAGCAGCUAAGCAGAAGCGUCCGGGAUUGGUGUUCUGCCAAUCCAGGGCCAGGUCCGGUGCGUCUCCCGGUGGUUCCUCUCCCGGGUCCAGCAGCAGCCAGCCUCCCGGUGACCUUGCAUCAAGCUCGUCAACAGCUAGCCUCCCGUUCUCCGGCUAAGGAAGGAAGAGGAAGUCGGUCUGGACACCCGUGAUUCCACUAUGGGCACCCAGCUCACAGCUUUCGGGAGCCUAGAGAGAAGAAAAAAGAAAGAGAAGGGGAAGAAAGGAAGAUGAAAAAAAAAGAGGAAGGGGGGUCUCGUUCUUACCGGUUUAAAAAAAAAAAAAAAAAAAAAGAAAGGAAAAGCUAUGGACACCCAUAGACGCCGGAGCUAUUUAAUUCUUUGGUCACGAGCUGGAUAUGCCGUAGCAAUGCGAACAGCCGAUUAUUACUCAUCGGAUCUCGGUGACUCAAAAAAAAAAAAAGCAAAGGAGAGAGAAACUUAUACAACACAGGUAAGGCAAUAUGAUUCUAUUCUACGGGAUUCUAACAUAAAGUUGUUAACACUACUGAAUCCUCCUAUGUGCACCCAUUCAGCAGCUAUUUUCACAGAUAAGUCCCUACCUCGUUGGUUUGUGAAAGUUCAUAAUAUUGAUGCCAUGAUUUCGUCCUAGUUGCAAGUCAACCUGUAUGUAUAUGAGUAUGCAUGCUAGUCAGUAGGUUUUGGCAUUAGACCUAGAGGCAUAAGUUAUUAAAAUCCCGAGUAAUAUCAAGCGGGAUAGGCAUUAGACCGAGAGGCAUAAGUCAUUAACAUCCCGAAUAAUAUCAAGCGGGAUAGGCAUUUGACAGAGAGAUUGGCAUUUGACAUUCAGUAUUACACAAUUGCAUGAAUCAAUACUUGGUUGGCCCCAUAAUUGUGUUGAUCAACUAAACUAUGUAAGCUGCUAAUCGCUCAUUUGUUAUGAAGGUACAAAAAUCCUCGCCCGGCCGAAUAAGUUUUGAGGCCGGGAGUCGGGAGGGGCAUUUUUUUGUCUUAUCGGCGGACUUGGGGGGACUGGGGCCGGGUGCCCGUUAAUAAAUGACUAGUCUAUGGGCAUUUUAUAUAUCAAGUCCCCACUCAAGACGCGUCUUGAACGGGAACUUGGGGGGACUUGUAGUCGGACUGAGAAUAACUACCCUCAGUAAUUACAUUCAACCACAAAAUACUGACUUAAGUUUCAGAAAAGGAAAGACCGGAAGCCCCCGGUCCCCUUGUUAUUGCAGGUCAGCGAGGAGAUAGCAGAUCAUCCACCAGACACACCAUCAGCUUCUGCGAACCCGUCCGGGAUUGUACAGAAACAGAAAACAAGGAGCCAGCUUAUUGUACUUCCUAUAUAUCUUCGAGUAGUGCCACAGUAUAACACCUGAAAACAAAAAUAAUGAACACAGAUAUAUCAAUCAAGACCACUUCUGAUAUAAUUAAGGUGAACAUGAAAAUGAUAAUAAUUAGAAAAUUAGUAUAAGCACUUCAGUGAAUAUUGUUCCCUCAAAUCAAACUGGACUUCAAAUAUACCACAGAAAAAAAAGGAUUCAGUGGCAUGAAACAAGAUACAGCCACCCCACAAUUACAACUGCAUGUAUCAAUAAAUUGACAAUUCUUGCAUACCAACAGUAGUUAAGAGUAAAAUACAUCAAAGGUACUAUACUGGUGCAUACUUUCCGUAAAAACAUUGUAUUCACUUCUUUGCAUCCUAACAGGCUAGGCGAGUGCUUUUACCCAAUUUGCAAAACCUUUCAAAUUGAUAUGCUGCAGAGUUUGUAAUUUACUUGAACUCUGGAAUAAUAAUAAUGAAAGAUGACACGACCCACCCCGAAUUUCACCCUGAAACCCAGAGUAAGUCGUGCGGGGACCAUCUCCAAGGAAAAUUUACUGAAAAGAUUAAGCAAAUCUCCUUGCAGAUGGACAACCCUAAGUCGAAAAUUUCAUAUUACACUCUUAAUUUAACGCUUCUAAAUAUCACAUAAUAUACAAAAAUUCUAAAGUAUUCAGAGCUACUAAACACAAGCGGAAGCAAGAAAACACAAGUAGGUUGUACAGGUAACCUACUGAUGAAAACUGGCCGAAAAGCGGGUGACUAUGCCUCGUCUCCUACUAGAUCCAACCCGAACUCUGCAGACUGGGCAAUUUAAAACGAAGGGCCCAGGGGAAAACAUUUAAUAACGUUAGAGUGAGUGGACAAAAAUAAAUUAAUAAUUAAAAUAUUUAUGUUUCCCCAAAUUAAUUUCUAAGGAAAAAUCGAAUGCCUGCCGCAAGCGAUAAAACCUUUAUCCCAUAAAUAUCGAGCCUCUCAGACUCUAUAAUAUAUGUAUGUAUUUACAUCGUCCAUACUCCCUAUAUAAUUCAUGGGUCUAUAUAGGGCUACUACGCUCGCGUCCAACGCUCACGUCNCGCCUAAUGCGGUGCUACACUACGCCAUCAAGGUGGACAGACGGUGUAUUAAAUACUCGUCGACCCACUACCCCUAUAUGAAUUAAACACUCAUAGUAGGGCUACUACGCUUACGUCCAACGCUCACGUCACACCAUAAUGCGGCUAUAUGCUACGCCAUUAAGGUGGACAGACACAUAUGGCUAGCUAGCAUUUUCUAUACAUACUCUCUCAUAAAUACAUAUUUAUAUUCACCGAAAAUCCCAUUUUCGGUAACUCUCUCUCAGAGAAAUAAAAGCGUCAAAAUUAAUUGACGGUAAAACUCCAACAAAAGGAAAUGUUCAAUCAUGAACCAUAGCAUGCAUAUUACUUCAAAUAAAAGUCCACUCACGAAUUAGGCCUAAGCCUGAUGUCAAUCUGGGGUCUCGUCUACUCGAGCCUCUUCACGUCCUGUUCCAAAUAUAAUAUUAAUUUCCCAACCAAUAUCCAAUAUUUAAUCAAAAUAGGCAAAAUUACCCGAGAGCCAUAAUUACGCUCAUCAUUGCCUAACUUCGAUAUUCUUACAUCGGAAUAAUCCGAACUUAAAUAUCAUACUCAACAGUCGUAAAUACAACCUCUCUAAAAUACGACUUAAAUCCAACGGCCGGAUUCUACAUUAAUUAACCGCCAAAAAUACCAAACUUCGGAAAUUCACAAACCUAUCCAAAUCUCAUCCAAAAAUUCCAUAAUUCACUUCAAUAAUAUCCCCUUAAUAUUCUACAUCAAAAACCAUAAAAUUUCCCAAAACAGCGGCGGCUCCGCCGGCAGCGGCGGCCGGCGACCAACUCCGGCAACCUGCAAAUGCCACCAAAUUUUAACAGAAUCUUCCUCUCAAUCUCCUCUACAACUUUCAUGACCAACACAAACUCCAAUUCUAAGCCUAACCAUGUCAAUCGAACACAAACAACCAUAAAUCCCUAAAACUUUCAAUUAUACAAACCACCCUAACGAAAUCGAAUUAAGCCGAAACCUUUUGAGGGAUUACUCACCUAGAUGAGGGCUACAAGUUGAGCCAAAAAUCACGACCUAUGGUGGCCGGAGGACGGAGCUCCGGCGAAAACACAGUCGGCGGUUCCGGCGGCUUUUUCUCCUCUCCGGCGGGUUAGAGGCUCGGGGGCUAGGCCGGGGAGGGAGAGGAGGUGACGGGGGUCCGAUCUGGGCUGGAGCGGCGGCAGCUGGUGGCCGGACGGCGGCGGGAGGACGGCCGGAAGUCUGCUGGGUGUAGAGAGAAAAAACUCGGGUGGGAAGAGAAGAAAAAUCGGGAGGAAGAGAGAGAGAAAGGAAGAAGAAAUGGGUUGGGCUCGGCCCAGCCGACCCAACUCUCCUUUUAAUCCAAAAUUCAACACCCCGAAAAAUAAUACCCGAAUAAAAAUUACCUUUUACUAGCUAAAAUUUACUAUUUUUACCGUCGUCGUAUUUUCUUCAUACUAAUAAUCCUCCGCACAUAAUCGUCCCCGAAACCCCUCUAGGGACCAAUUAAACUAUUUACUCAAUGACGGAGACGGUAAAAUUCUUAUUAUAAUCACGCUAGUAAAUAAGGUAAAAAUAUAAGGGUCGGGAUGUGACAAA
rnacentral:lncRNA from 1 species